rnacentral:rRNA from 1 species
AGCAGCCGCGGUAACUCCAGCUCCAAUAGCGUAUAUUAAAGUUGUUGCAGUUAAAAAGCUCGUAGUUGAAUUUCGGGGUUAGUAGGCUGGUCGUGCCACUGGUAUGUACUGGUCUCACUGAUUCCUCCUUCCUGAUGAGCUGUAAUGCCAUUAAUUUGGUGUUGCAGGGAAUCUGGACUGUUACUUUGAAAAAUUAGAGUGUUUAAAGCAGGCUAACGCUUGAAUACAUUAGCAUGGAAUAAUGAAAUAGGACGUUCGAUCCUAUUUUGUUGGUUUCUAGGAUUGACGUAAUGAUUAAUAGGGAUAGUUGGGGGCAUUAGUAUUCAAUUGUCAGAGGUGAAAUUCUUGGAUUUAUUGAAGACUAACUACUGCGAAAGCAUUUGCCAAGGAUGUUUUCAUUAAUCAAGAACGAAAGUUAGGGGAUCGAAGACGAUCAGAUACCGUCGUAGUCUUAACCAUAAACUAUGCCGACUAGGGAUCGGAUGAUGUUAAUUUUUAAUGA